GCCGGAGUGCUGGAACAGGCAGACAGGGCGGUCUCAAAAACCGCUGAGGGCGACCUCGUGUGGGUUCAAGUCCCACCUCCGGCA
rnacentral:tRNA from 1 species